rnacentral:lncRNA from 1 species
GGUCCCUAAAGAAUGAAAAAUUAAAAUUCAGGACAAUGAUGUCAGAUGAGGGAGGGUAGAAGGGGUCCUAAUCCUGAAAUCCCGGGCUUAAAAACACGAAAUCCAGAGUUUAAAUAAAUUUAAAUCCCGCUAUUCCGAAGUUCCAAAAAAUAAUUCCCUUAUCCCGAAAUCCCGAGCUUAAAAAAAAGAUCAUGGUGCAACCCCCCCCCCUUUCCAAUGAUUAAAAAA